rnacentral:rRNA from 1 species
CGGGACACGUGGUAUCCUGUCUGAAUAUGGGGGGACCAUCCUCCAAGGCUAAAUACUCCUGACUGACCGAUAGUGAACCAGUACCGUGAGGGAAAGGCGAAAAGAACCCCGGCGAGGGGAGUGAAAAAGAACCUGAAACCGUGUACGUACAAGCAGUGGGAGCACGCUUAGGCGUGUGACUGCGUACCUUUUGUAUAAUGGGUCAGCGACUUAUAUUCUGUAGCAAGGUUAACCGAAUAGGGGAGCCGAAGGGAAACCGAGUCUUAACUGGGCGUUAAGUUGCAGGGUAUAGACCCGAAACCCGGUGAUCUAGCCAUGGGCAGGUUGAAGGUUGGGUAACACUAACUGGAGGACCGAACCGACUAAUGUUGAAAAAUUAGCGGAUGACUUGUGGCUGGGGGUGAAAGGCCAAUCAAACCGGGAGAUAGCUGGUUCUCCCCGAAAGCUAUUUAGGUAGCGCCUCGUGAAUUCAUCUCCGGGGGUAGAGCACUGUUUCGGCAAGGGGGUCAUCCCGACUUACCAACCCGAUGCAAACUGCGAAUACCGGAGAAUGUUAUCACGGGAGACACACGGCGGGUGCUAACGUCCGUCGUGAAGAGGGAAACAACCCAGACCGCCAGCUAAGGUCCCAAAGUCAUGGUUAAGUGGGAAACGAUGUGGGAAGGCCCAGACAGCCAGGAUGUUGGCUUAGAAGCAGCCAUCAUUUAAAGAAAGCGUAAUAGCUCACUGGUCGAGUCGGCCUGCGCGGAAGAUGUAACGGGGCUAAACCAUGCACCGAAGCUGCGGCAGCGACGCUGAUGCGUUGUUGGGUAGGGGAGCGUUCUGUAAGCCUGCGAAGGUGUGCUGUGAGGCAUGCUGGAGGUAUCAGAAGUGCGAAUGCUGACAUAAGUAACGAUAAAGCGGGUGAAAAGCCCGCUCGCCGGAAGACCAAGGGUUCCUGUCCAACGUUAAUCGGGG